AUAAUUGUUUUGGUGACUUACAUUCCCGAAGAUUAGGUUUUUGAAUUCACGAGUCACCUGUGGCAUCGUGGUAACUAACAUUUAAAUUCCUUUUAUUGCAGGUCGAUGUAGAGAAUUUACUUUAUCAGAGAAGCCCCAUGGUGGUUCUUUUAGAUUUUUCACUUGAAUUAUUUUCUAAUUGGCAUUCAAGAGUGACGUAUUGUGUUUUAGUUAUUAAUUAAAAAAAAAAACUAUAUAAUGGUAUUUCCAUAAUUUGACUGGGAUGGAUAUAUAUAUGUGUGUGUGUGUGUGUGUGUGUCUGUCUGUCUAAGAAUCCAUAAAUCAGAAAAAAAUAUGUACUUGCAUAUUUGUCAGUGGGUAUAUUAAUCGAAGUGUACAAUAUCCAUUGCAGACGAUUAGUUUCGUCGGGUAUUAUUAAAUAAGUCCUAUUAUGAAACCCUCUCAAGACUGACUCUACUAAAAUAAUAAUUGAAAACCCAAAAUCGCCAAAGCGAUUUGAGAGCCCCGGUAUCCUGAGUUCAGUUCAUACAUCUGCUUUCUCUGGAUUGGGUAAAUUCUGAGGCAAGUGUUCUAUGGUCAGAUGCUGUUCCUAUCACCAACCCUCACCUGCUUUUCAAAUUACAGAUUUUAAUUGCAGUUUCACUCGUGAUACUGGGCAUGCCGAGGCUAUGGAAAACAUUUCCAAGAUACCAUAAUGGGAUGGUAGCCGAGAGACCAUGUAGUUGGAAAACAAACUGCUCAAGCUACCAGGACUUAAGUAAACCAAUACCGGUUGUCAAGCGGUGCUGGUGGAACUUCUUUCAGGUUCCGUCUACCAAAUUCCCUGAAGAUUUAACCCGAGGCUUUAAUUAGGAAAUGCUUACUCAAAUCGAGAAUUUUUCAUUGUUUUGGGUUUAUAUAUUCGAAGAUUCAAUAUUCCUGUGUAAUCUAGAUUCUCGAAAACGUAUGUCUGCAAAAUAUCGUUUAAAAAUAUGCAUUUUGAAGAGGAGCGUAAGAAGUUUUGCUUCCUGACCACAUGGUGACGGAUCCAUUUCCACAGCGUGGCACUUAUAGCGUUGUUCCAUAGCCCUUGGCUGACCAAUGUCUUUUGGAUGGAUUUGGUAGAAGAAAACUGAAAGAAGUCCGUCCUGUAUAUACACACAGCAGUUUAGCAUAAUAGAUCGAACCGACAAAAUUACCAGGCUUAAAUAAAAAAAAAAAAAAAAAAAAAAAAAUUAAAAUUAAAAGGGCUGUCUUGUUCGAAAUCCCUUCUAAGCAUCAUCCAAUAUGGCUGCAGCCUAAUGACUGAAACAAGUAAAAAGGUAAUCAGUCUACAUUCUCGAAAGCUUAUUUCUGCGAAAGUUCAUUUAGAAUUAUGCUUUUUUUUCUUAUAAGUUAUGCAGAAACUUAGCUGUCUGUAAUUAUAACCCUAACCACACAAUCAUGCAUGCACAAUAAUUGGUAUUGCAGAAUAUAAAUAAAUAUAUAUAUAGUCCAUUUAAUGAUGUAUAGUUUUUUUUGUAAGUUCUCGCAAUUAAAUGCAAUUAUUCCUAGGGAGCGAACUUUUAGAUAACAUUAGGAUAUCAAAGGUUUUAUAAAAUUGCUAAUUGUUAUAAUUUUGGCAUCUAUUUUACUAAACCAUGCUUGUCAUGCAUAUAAAGAAACUCUCUAUUGAAUGUUUACAGUCUGAAUUUUUGCAACUUUGACGUUAUGUAUAUACACAUGCAAGCAUGGAUGUGUGGUUGAGAAGCUUGUUUCCAUGUGGUCUCGGGGGGGUUCAGUCUCAUGGCAUAGAAUAAGUCUUUUUAUAGCCCCAGGCUAACCAAAGUAUUGUGAGUGGAUUUGAUCUGCUAAACCUUCGGUCAUUCAUCAGAGCAGUAAGGGAGCUCAGUUGUGUGUAUGCCUUUGCCCUUGUCUUGAUGGUUGUAAAUGAGUCACCGUCAUACAAGCGGUUUGUUCCCAGUUUUCUGGCUAUGGGGAAAUGGUACUUUGCUUCGAAACAAAUGAAGGUUGGUGACAAGAAGGGAAUCUGGUCAUAGAGAAGCUGCCUCGACAAAUUCUAACCCAUGAGCAUGAUGGUGCAAAGAUGAAUGUGUUUGUGUGAAUUUCGUCUGGUAAUUGGAAAGUAAAUUUGCCUGUGUUGGGUGAAUUUCCUUUUUCUUUCCUUUCUCUUUCUCUAAAAUAGCAGCAACUUUAAACUUCUUAUCUAACCAUGAUGAUCCUUUUUAUUCUUCCUGUUUCAACAGUCAUCAUUCAGUAACUGAAAGACGUCUUCGCCAGUUUUGCAGAUAAAGGUGGCCUCCAUUUUAAUUUACUUGUAUUAUCUAAUUUAAUUCUUUUAAUUAGAAGAUAACUUUAUCAACUUAAAUGCUUUAUCUUUUGCCACUCUGUUGUAUCAAAAGGGACCCUUCAAUACCCAGGAAUGGUCCCUCAUGUUGCUUUCUUCUGAAUUCACUGAGAGUUAACCAAAAUCUCAGUAAAAUAUAUACUACCUGGUAAUGAGCUGAUGGUAGGCUAGCAUAGACAAAUUUAUGGUAAAACAUUGAGCAUUGAUUCAAUUAACUCUUCACUCUUGCAGAGCUUACUUUGUACCAAUUAUAUAGAACUUCACUUCUUAGUGAUGACCUGUUUAAGCUAGGUUGGCUAAGGUCAGAAAACUUCUAUUUUUCUGACUAUUUUUUUAAUGAGUAGAGCCUGUGUUUUAUCUACUUUUCAAUCAAAAUUUUGGAACAGUUUCAUAAGAUAUCUUUAUAUAUGUUGGUGUUGAUACCUCAAAAUGCUGUUCCAGUUGUGAGAGUUUUUAUUUUUAGAGCUUUUGUGUGUAAGCAUGUUUACCAUCCCCUUCAGUUGGGUGGACAGUAGUAGAAAAGGAAUUUAACUGUAAAAGACAAAAUACACUUCUCAGAGUAUAAUGAAUGUAAAAGAAUUCUAGUAUCAAUACAAAUUUUUAGAUAGAUUUUUUGAUGAAUUAUUUUAAGAUAAAUGUAUAAUUUAAGUUUUUUUUUUCUUUAUUUCUUUCAGACUUAAUCCACAGUUGUAUUCUUUUGGUGGCAACUUCUCACUGCUUGAUCGAAGGGAUGCUUUUCAAGUGCCUAUUACCAGCUUUGAUAAUCAAUGGUGAAAAAAUUGCAAUUAGAGCCAGUUUAUACUACCUGUGGAAAAAGACUGCAAGGGUAGUAACAAAAGAAAUGAAUGAGGGCCCAAGAAUUGUCAACAAAUGUUUGAUGCUACCUUCAACGACAGGCCAAGGUUAAGACCUUCUGUUGUGGAAGAUGAGGCCUUGCUUGAAAUGGUUGAACAAAUCAAGAACCAACACUUCCAUAAACUUGGUCUUAUAAGUGGAUGUUGUCAAGAUGUUCCCCAUGAACAGACCGAUGACUUGUGAAUAUUUGCAAAACAUUUUUUUGACUUGACCUGGACGUUUUGUCUCAAAACCAGUUUGUUGCUAAGCAAAGACUGGCAAAUGAUGCUAAAUCCUGGACGCUUCUCUCUGUCCUCUGUACAAUUCUUCAUCACUUCCACAAACAUUUUUAGUGACUCAUUGUAUCUUGUAACAUUUUCUAACUAAAUUGGUCAUUGUUUCUCAUUGACUCACAUAUUUGAUACUUCACCUAGAGAUUUUCAGGUACUCUGCUGAUACACUAUAGCAUUUUCU